GCUUCCUACGGGAGGCAGCAGUGGGGAAUUUUGGACAAUGGGCGCAAGCCUGAUCCAGCAAUGCCGCGUGAGUGAAGAAGGCCUUCGGGUUGUAAAGCUCUUUUGUCAGGGAAGAAACGGUGAGGGCUAAUAUCCUUUGCUAAUGGCGGUACCUGAAGAAUAAGCACCGGCUAACUACGUGCCAGCAGCCGCGGUAAUACGUAGGGUGCAAGCGUUAGUCGGAAUUACUGGGCGUAAAGCGUGCGCAGGCGGUUAUGUAAGUCAGAUGUGAAAUCCCCGGGCUCAACCUGGGAAUGGCAUUUGAGACUGCAUGGCUAGAGUGUGUCAGAGGGAGGUAGAAUUCCACGUGUAGCAGUGAAAUGCGUAGAGAUGUGGAGGAAUACCGAUGGCGAAGGCAGCCCCCUGGGAUAACACUGACGCUCAUGCACGAAAGCGUGGGGAGCAAGCAGGAUUAGAUACCCUGGUAGUCCACGCCCUAAACGAUGUCUACUAGUUGUCGGGACUUAAUUGUCUUGGUAACGCAGCUAACGCGUGAAGUAGACCGCCUGGGGAGUACGGUCGCAAGAUUAAAACUC
rnacentral:rRNA from 1 species